UGCGUAGGCGGAACUUUAAGUCAGUGGUGAAAUCCUGCGGCUCAACCGUAGAACUGCCAUUGAUACUGAAGUUCUUGAAUGCAGUUGAGGUAGGCGGAAUGUGUAAUGUAGCGGUGAAAUGCUUAGAUAUUACACAGAACACCGAUUGCGAAGGCAGCUUGCUAAACUGUGAUUGACGCUGAUGCAUGAAAGCGUGGGGAGCGAACAGGAUUAGAUACCCUGGUAGUCC
rnacentral:rRNA from 1 species